rnacentral:rRNA from 1 species
GCAAGUCGAACGGCAGCGCGGGGAGCUUGCUCCCUGGCGGCGAGUGGCGGACGGGUGAGUAACGCGUAGGAAUCUGCCCAGUAGUGGGGGACAACCAGAGGAAACUCUGGCUAAUACCGCAUACGCUCUACGGGGGAAAGCGGGGGAUCUUCGGACCUCGCGCUAUUGGAUGAGCCUGCGUUGGAUUAGCUUGUUGGUGAGGUAAUGGCUCACCAAGGCGACGAUCCAUAGCUGGUCUGAGAGGACGAUC